GCCAGUGUUGCUUAGUGGUUUGAGUGAUGGAGUACAACCCUAGAGACCAAGGUUCAAUUCCUCGCGUGGCCA